GCGGACCUCGCAGGAGGGGGGUGGGGUGCAAGCCAAUGAGCGCCCGGGGGCGGGGUUAGGCCCGGGGCAGAGAUGGGGAGCUGGAUGAGGACCACCGUGCUGACACAAGCCAGAGCUGCGGCAGAGACCCAGGGCGCGGAGGCGGAGGUCAAUUCUGGGCCACCCUCGUUGUGUGUCCUUCUGAGGAAUCUUCAAGGAAGAAGAGGGAAGGAGAAAGAACUUGAGCCUUUUGUUAGCAAGGUCAGUCUAGCUGAAGACCAAAGGACCGGGGCACAGAGAAGAAUCAUGAAUGGGAACCAGAAAGAACCCUAACUGGCAGCCGGCUAUGCAGAAAGAAGUGAGACAUUCAUAUAAACCCGCCUUUCUUCCCUUUGCCUCACAGCCUAUGGCCUGAAGGAUUCUUUUCGUAUCCCUACAUCCCUUGCUCCAUCUUCUUCACACCUGGAAUUUGUACACAGCCUCAUCAGUCGCAGAAGGGGAGAGAUGUGCAAGAAGAGUCAAAGAUGCUCAGCUACCUCCCCGACCCCUGUCCUUCUCUUCGGGUUCCUGGGGAAAUCAGCCCUGGAUCGGUUUCAUCCUGGCAUGGCUACCACAGAGAAAGAGGUGUUUGCAAUUAUUCUUAAUUAGCCUGACUGACCAUCUCUGUCACCAGGCUGUCUCUUUAAGCUGCUUCUUUGUGUUUUGAGGACACUUCUAAAUAAUGAGGAAACUCGUCUGCGGUGGCCUGGAGGGAAAGGUCGCAGAAGGAUGCUGGCCAGGGGUGAGCUGAGACAUCUUUAUAUGAACCCAGUCACAGUACCUCUUAGAGCCUGCUGCUUCUACUAGGUCCCCAGUGGGAAGCCUCCCUCCAGCUUCAGGCAUAGGUGCUAGCUCCAUCAUCCUUAUUGCUGGAAGGAGCCACCAGUCCACCCCCUAAGGGAUCCAUCUGCUUAGAGCCCCUUCUUCAGAUCUCUACAUGCAUUACCUUCCUCAGUCUUGUUCACAUGCCACUGAUACCAUGAACCCUGUCAUCUCUCCUGCUUCACUGAAGCAAACAGUACUGGCAAGGCAGAGAUUUCAGAACUGGGUUCUGAACUAGCCUUCUGGGUUCAAACUGCCAUUUUGACACACUUAUUUAACUUUCUGUGCCUCCAUUGCCUCACCCGGAAAGCAGAGCUAAAUAACAGCAUUGGGUACUUAUGAUUGUUGGGAAAAUGUGUGUGUGGGUGUGUAUGUGUAUGUGUGUAUCUGUGUGUCUAUAUGUGUCUGUGUGUCUUAGAGAGAUGUAUGAUGCUUAGCAUGGGGUAAACAUGUAAAAAAAAGUCAGGUUUUCCUUGCUUACUAAUUUUCAUUUUUCAUAUUGUUUUGAUCAAUUUGUUUGCUUUAAUUUGUUUGUUUGCUUGCUUGCUUGCUUUUGGCAGGCUUUCCCUACUUAGCCCAGGCUAGACCAAAGAUCCCUUCCUUCCUGGCAGUGCUAGGGUUAAUGUGCAGCCACACCAGUGUUGCCCUUUUCUUCCUCAGCCUUCUCUGUGCAUGCCCUGUACACUACCUGUCUCCCCUAGGCCAACACACACUGCCUGAGGACCAAGUCUUUCUUCACUUGUUGCU